rnacentral:rRNA from 1 species
AUUGAACGCUGGCGGCAUGCUUUACACAUGCAAGUCGAGCGGCAGCGCGGGGGCAACCCUGGCGGCGAGCGGCGAACGGGUGAGUAAUGCAUCGGAACGUAUCCUCGAGUGGGGGAUAACCCAGCGAAAGUUGGGCUAAUACCGCAUGAGCUCUGAGGAGGAAAGCGGGGGACCUGCGAGGGCCUCGCGCUGGAGGAGCGGCCGAUGUCCGAUUAGCUAGUUGGUGGGGUAAAGGCUUACCAAGGCGACGAUCGGUAGCUGGUCUGAGAGGAUGAUCAGCCACACUGGGACUGAGACACGGACCAGACUCCUACGGGAGGCAGCAGUGGGGAAUUUUGGACAAUGGGGGCAACCCUGAUCCAGCAAUGCCGCGUGAGUGAAGAAGGCCUUCGGGUUGUAAAGCUCUUUCGGACGGAACGAAAUGGGCGGGACUAAUACUCCUGUCUGAUGACGGUACCGUAAGAAGAAGCACCGGCUAACUACGUG